rnacentral:lncRNA from 1 species
CUCGGUUAAGGAGAUUGUACAAAUCGUUGAAGUUCACCAAUAGGCGUGGAAACCAAACUAGAAAAUCCAUUCGAUCAUCUACUAUUGUGGAUAGCCUUCAUCUACGUUCUUGAAUACCGAGGCACAGGCUCUUCGAAUAGCAUGGAAAUUCAUUCGUGUGGCAUAUACAAAUAAGGUCUUACUACUCCCUACUGAAUAAAGGUGAGCAAAUUCUUGAAGUUUCUAGGGCUUCGAGUUUCUGGGUCUGUAAGAUGUUGAAGAUUUUUCAUCUCCGUCAUAGCUACAUGAUCUCUUGAAGAAGAGCGAUUAUGGAGCACAGUAAAUGCAAAUUUGUCUGAGUUUAAUGCCCGGACUGCCUGAAUAGAAGAAACUUAGAAAAUGAGGUUGUUGGCUGGAACUGUGAUCGUCAAGGCAUUUUGAAAGAUAAUAAUGGGAGUUCAAAACAGGAGCUGGA